AUGCAGACUAUUAUGUGAGUUGUGGGUGAUGGUGCUCUUGGUAAAACAUGUCUCCUGAUAUCCUACACAACUAACAAAUUCCCAUCUGAGUAUGUACCAACUGUUUUUGACAACUAUGCAGCCACAGUUAUGAUUGCUGGAGAACCCUAUACUCUUGGACUUAUUGAUACCGCAGGGCAAGAGGAUUAUGACCAACUACGACUGCUGAAUUAUCCACAGACAGAUAUAUUUCUAAUGUGUUGUUCAGUGGUCUCCCCAUCCUCAUUUGAAAAUGUGAAAGAAAAGUGGGUGACUGAGAUAACUCACCACUGUCCAAAGACUCCUUUCUUGCUUGUUGGGACCCAAAUUGAUCUCAGAGAUGAUGAUUCUACUACUGAGAAACUUGCCAAGAACAUACAGAAGCCUAUCACUCCAGAGACUGUUGAAAAGCAGGCUCGUGACCUGAAGGCUGUCAAGUAUGUGGAGUGUUCUGAAGGCUGUUAGCUACAUGGAGUGUUCUGCCCUCACACAGAAGGCCUAAAGAAUGUGUUUGAUGAAGCAAUAUUGGCUUCCCUGGAGCCUCCAGAACCGAAGCAGAGCCGCAGGGGUAUGCUGCUGUGA